rnacentral:rRNA from 1 species
GACGUGCGCAGGCGGUUAUGUAAGACAGAUGUGAAAUACCCCGGGCCUCAACCUGGGAACUGCAUUAGUGACUGCAUAGCUGGAGUACGGCAGAGGGGGAUGGAAUUCCGCGUGUAGCAGUGAAAUGCGUAGAUAUGCGGAGGAACACCGAUGGCGAAGGCAAUCCCCUGGGCCUGUACUGACGCUCAUGCACGAAAGCGUGGGGAGCAAACAGGAUUAGAUACCCCGGU